CUUCAACUUACAUUUAUCUGCAAUAUUGUCUUCAGGCCGUCCGCUGAGUUCCACAUUCUCUUUACUGCUGCACUUGUGGAAUUUAUUAAAGGCCAUCAUACAUUUCAGGUUUUAAUUUUCUUCUCCCCACAGGUAGUGAUAAUAUUUCCAACCCCCACCCAUUUAAAUCCACCGCUGAUCCUAAAAUAUUCCAUCCUAUAAUCUCUGACAUCUUCUCCAGAUAAAACCCCACGACCUGCCCGGUCUUACUCGAGGAAGCUGGUCACAAGAGCAGGGUUAGUGACGAAACCAAAACAAUGUUGGUGGUAGAUGGUGCGUUGCCCAUUGAAAAGUUUGAUCGCACCUUUUUCUACAACAUGGCAUUGAGAGAAACAUCUGAUAUCAUCAACCGAGUCUCCGUCACCCUGGAUGUGGAAACAGCGCAUGCGCUGCUCGAGG